CCGGCGAUGUCCGAAUGGGGAAACCCAGUGCAAUUCGUUGCACUAUCGUUAACUGAAUACAUAGGUUAACGAGGCGAACCGGGGGAACUGAAACAUCUAAGUACCCCGAGGAAAAGAAAUCAACCGAGAUUCCCCCAGUAGCGGCGAGCGAACGGGGAGCAGCCCAGAGUCUGAAUCAGCUUGUGUGUUAGUGGAACGGUCUGGAAAGUCCGACGGUACAGGGUGAUAGUCCCGUACACCAAAAUGCACAGGUUGUGAACUCGAAGAGUAGGGCGGGACACGUGGUAUCCUGUCUGAAUAUGGGGGGACCAUCCUCCAAGGCUAAAUACUCCUGACUGACCGAUAGUGAACCAGUACCGUGAGGGAAAGGCGAAAAGAACCCCGGCGAGGGGAGUGAAAAAGAACCUGAAACCGUGUACGUACAAGCAGUGGGAGCACCUUCGGGUGUGACUGCGUACCUUUUGUAUAAUGGGUCAGCGACUUAUAUUCUGUAGCAAGGUUAACCGUAUAGGGGAGCCGCAGGGAAACCGAGUCUUAACUGGGCGUUAAGUUGCAGGGUAUAGACCCGAAACCCGGUGAUCUAGCCAUGGGCAGGUUGAAGGUUGGGUAACACUAACUGGAGGACCGAACCGACUAAUGUUGAAAAAUUAGCGGAUGACUUGUGGCUGGGGGUGAAAGGCCAAUCAAACCGGGAGAUAGCUGGUUCUCCCCGAAAGCUAUUUAGGUAGCGCCUCGUGAACUCAUCUUCGGGGGUAGAGCACUGUUUCGGCUAGGGGGUCAUCCCGACUUACCAACCCGAUGCAAACUACGAAUACCGAAGAAUGUUAUCACGGGAGACACACGGCGGGUGCUAACGUCCGUCGUGAAGAGGGAAACAACCCAGACCGCCAGCUAAGGUCCCAAAGUCAUGGUUAAGUGGGAAACGAUGUGGGAAGGCACAGACAGCCAGGAUGUUGGCUUAGAAGCAGCCAUCAUUUAAAGAAAGCGUAAUAGCUCACUGGUCGAGUCGGCCUGCGCGGAAGAUGUAACGGGGCUAAACUGUGCACCGAAGCUGCGGCAGCGACACUAUGUGUUGUUGGGUAGGGGAGCGUUCUGUAAGCCUGCGAAGGUGGCCUGUGAGGGUUGCUGGAGGUAUCAGAAGUGCGAAUGCUGACAUAAGUAACGAUAAUGCGGGUGAAAAGCCCGCACGCCGGAAGACCAAGGGUUCCUGUCCAACGUUAAUCGGGGCAGGGUGAGUCGACCCCUAAGGCGAGGCCGAAAGGCGUAGUCGAUGGGAAACAGGUUAAUAUUCCUGUACUUGGUGUUACUGCGAAGGGGGGACGGAGAAGGCUAUGUUAGCCGGGCGACGGUUGUCCCGGUUUAAGCAUGUAGGCGGAGGUUCCAGGUAAAUCCGGUACCUUUUAACGCUGAGGUGUGAUGACGAGGCACUACGGUGCUGAAGUAACAAAUGCCCUGCUUCCAGGAAAAGCCUCUAAGCAUCAGGUAACAUUAAAUCGUACCCCAAACCGACACAGGUGGUCAGGUAGAGAAUACCAAGGCGCUUGAGAGAACUCGGGUGAAGGAACUAGGCAAAAUGGUGCCGUAACUUCGGGAGAAGGCACGCUGGUGUGUAGGUGAAGUCCCUGCGGAUGGAGCUGAGACCAGUCGAAGAUACCAGCUGGCUGCAACUGUUUAUUAAAAACACAGCACUGUGCAAACACGAAAGUGGACGUAUACGGUGUGACGCCUGCCCGGUGCCGGAAGGUUAAUUGAUGGGGUUAUCCGUAAGGAGAAGCUCUUGAUCGAAGCCCCGGUAAACGGCGGCCGUAACUAUAACGGUCCUAAGGUAGCGAAAUUCCUUGUCGGGUAAGUUCCGACCUGCACGAAUGGCGUAAUGAUGGCCAGGCUGUCUCCACCCGAGACUCAGUGAAAUUGAACUCGCUGUGAAGAUGCAGUGUACCCGCGGCAAGACGGAAAGACCCCGUGAACCUUUACUAUAGCUUGACACUGAACAUUGAGCCUUGAUGUGUAGGAUAGGUGGGAGGCUUUGAAGCGUGGACGCCAGUCUGCGUGGAGCCAACCUUGAAAUACCACCCUUUAAUGUUUGAUGUUCUAACGUUGGCCCGUAAUCCGGGUUGCGGACAGUGUCUGGUGGGUAGUUUGACUGGGGCGGUCUCCUCCCAAAGAGUAACGGAGGAGCACGAAGGUUAGCUAAUCCUGGUCGGACAUCAGGAGGUUAGUGCAAUGGCAUAAGCUAGCUUGACUGCGAGCGUGACGGCGCGAGCAGGUGCGAAAGCAGGUCAUAGUGAUCCGGUGGUUCUGAAUGGAAGGGCCAUCGCUCAACGGAUAAAAGGUACUCCGGGGAUAACAGGCUGAUACCGCCCAAGAGUUCAUAUCGACGGCGGUGUUUGGCACCUCGAUGUCGGCUCAUCACAUCCUGGGGCUGAAGUAGGUCCCAAGGGUAUGGCUGUUCGCCAUUUAAAGUGGUACGCGAGCUGGGUUUAGAACGUCGUGAGACAGUUCGGUCCCUAUCUGCCGUGGGCGCUGGAGAAUUGAGGGGGGCUGCUCCUAGUACGAGAGGACCGGAGUGGACGCAUCACUGGUGUUCGGGUUGUCAUGCCAAUGGCACUGCCCGGUAGCUAAAUGCGGAAGAGAUAAGUGCUGAAAGCAUCUAAGCACGAAACUUGCCCCGAGAUGAGUUCUCCCUGAGACUAUAAGUCUCCUGAAGGAACGUUGAAGACGACGACGUUGAUAGGCCGGGUGUGUAAGCGCAGCGAUGCGUUGAGCUAACCGGUACUAAUGAACCGUGAGGCUUAACCUUACAACGCCGAAG
rnacentral:rRNA from 1 species